AACCCUUCUCUUCCGCGGCCUUUUCUCUCCUUCUCAGACAGGUCUCCAAAUCAGAUUACUGAACGAACCCUAAUCGCAUUUUUGUUCAUAAUUUCUGAACAAAAACCUACAUUAUUUUCAUCCGGUCGAAACUCAGAUUACUCUAUUAGUAGUAGUAGACAUAAAAAACCCUUACAAUCUCUUUAUUCUUCAUACAAUUAGAACAUUAGUAACAAAAAAUUCUUCUUCUCAUCAUCAUCAUCAUCAUUUUCUUCAGCUCGUAAACGUCGUUUCAGUGGUAUUGUGAUUAGAGCAGUUGCUGACUAUUAUUCAACACUUGGUGUUCCAAAAUCUGCUACAAGUAAAGAUAUUAAAGCCGCUUACAGAAGAUUAGCCCGUCAGAUUUGUGGUUUUAUACUGAAGAAGGAACCCUUGUUCAAGGUGGAUAUCAUGUAUACAAGGCCAGAAGAGAGGACCCUAUAUGUGGGAAUAAUUGCUAUUUUGAGGUUCACAUGGAUGGUUUGUAUCGGCGCAGGUAUGAGGAUGAUACUUUUUAUUUUGAUCGGGUUUAUUCGUUUCAAUAAGCAGCAAAUGUUGAAGGGUAUUUCCUUAGUAGCAAAAUGGUUGAUUAGAAGUUUUAAAAUGCUAGUUUUUCUUAGAUUUUAUGUUGAAUCUAAUUUUUGUAGCUUCCUUGUAUAACUGUUAUUGAAUAAUUUAAUUGUCAAGAAAUUACUUAAUUUGGUUUUGGUUCUCGCUAUGGUUGGUUGUAAUGCUACUUGAGCAGUCGCGCGAGCAAAAAAAAUAAUCCUUGUACUGCUCUUCGAUUAUGAAAAGAAUAUAUAUUCAUCUACUUCGUUCAAGUCUGUAACUUCUUCUGCUCCAUAUAGAUAAGCUCGCAUCUCUAAUGAUUAACCUGAUUCUGAUUUUAUAAGCAACUACAUAUAUAUGCUGCACACACACAGUAACUUGUUCUAUACUUGUAUAUCAAUAAGGACUUGAAUCUGAGUAAUGUGGAGGACAAUGGGAUAUCUGAGGUAGAAAGAGCUAUUGGGUGACCUUGCUGCUUCUUCCAUCGUCAUAGAUGAUUGAUUCCUAUUGGCUUAGACAAGGCUUUCAGCGCGUUCGGAGGUAAAACAUCCACAUCUUUGCAGCGAGUCGCUGCUGGUCGCUUUGUAUGAUAUUAGGCUUUAGUAUAGUAGGCAAUACUCAAUAGUAAUGCACUCUUUUAUCUUUUGAGCUUUGAACAAUUGAACUCUGUUCCUUUUUACUGUUAGCUUUAUCAAUUUUGGAGUUUGCAACUU